UACAUGAUAUGUGGCAAAGACUUUACACCGUCUGAGUCAGAGGCAUUACAUAGUCCGAGCUAAAGACUUUACACCGUCUGAGGCAAAGACUUUACAUGAUUUGUGGGAAAAGGCAUUCCAUAGUCUGAGCUAAAGACUUUACACCGUCUGAGGCAAAGACUUUACAUGAUUUGUGGCAAAGACUUUACACCGUCUGAGUCAGACAUAGAUUGAAUCAUGGUUUACCUUAGAGAUUUGACUUCCUCUUCUUCAAAGUUGCGAUACCUUUUGUGUUUCGAUAGUACAAGAGAUAUAUCAUUGUAUGAGCACCAAAUCCAGGAGAGUUUCAAUUUAUCAGAAAUCAAACUUCUUAACAUAUCCAAAAUUUAUAGUUCAAGUCUUGCAGGAUAGUUCUAAGCAAUCUUCAAAAAUGAAUUUCACAUACAGAAAAGCUGAUAGAUUCACAUUCGCAUGUUCUUAUUAAAAGAAAAUAUUCGUAUCUUAGUGUAGAGAAUCCAAAAAACUACAACAUGUACAAUAAUCACAGCUAAUAGCUUUAUGGAUUUGUACGAAUAUUUCUUUGAAGUCAAUUCAAAUUAUGUCU